rnacentral:miRNA from 1 species
GCAACAAAAUUGCUGCAACUUGCAACAAAAUCUGAAUUCAACGCAUGUUAAUAUGAUUUGUAAUAUAUGUGUAAACAUUUCAAUUAACAUGCGUAGAAAUCAGAUUUUGUUGCAAGUUGCAGCAAUUUUGUUG